rnacentral:ncRNA from 1 species
GUUGAAGUCAGGGGAAACCCUGAUGGAAGACCGAAACAGUUCUGACGUGCAAAUCGAUUGUCAGAAUUGAGUAUAGGGGCGAAAGACCAAUCGAACCAUCUAGUAGCUGGUUCCUUCCGAAGUUUCCCUCAGGAUAGCUGGUGCAUUUUAAUAUUAUAUAAAAUAAUCUUAUCUGGUAAAGCGAAUGAUUAGAGGCCUUAGGGUCGAAACGAUCUUAACCUAUUCUCAAACUUUAAAUGGGUAAGAACCUUAACUUUCUUGAUAUGAAGUUUAAGGUUAUGAUAUAAUGUGCCCAGUGGGCCACUUUUGGUAAGCAGAACUGGCGCUGUGGGAUGAACCAAACGUAAUGUUACGGUGCCCAAAUUAACAACUCAUGCAGAUACCAUGAAAGGCGUUGGUUGCUUAAAACAGCAGGACGGUGAUCAUGGAAGUCGAAAUCCGCUAAGGAGUGUGUAACAACUCACCUGCCGAAGCAACUAGCCCUUAAAAUGGAUGGCGCUUAAGUUGUAUACCUAUACAUUACCGCUAAAGUAGAUGAUUUAUACUACUUGUAAUAUAAAUUUUGAAACUUUAGUGAGUAGGAAGGUACAAUGGUAUGCGUAGAAGUGUUUGGCGUAAGCCUGCAUGGAGCUGCCAUUGGUACAGAUCUUGGUGGUAGUAGCAAAUAAUCGAAUGAGACCUUGGAGGACUGAAGUGGAGAAGGGUUUCGUGUGAACAGUGGUUGAUCACGAGUUAGUCGGUCCUAAGUUCAAGGCGAAAGCCGAAAAUUUUCAAGUAAAAAACUAAUGACUAAAUAAAUAUAUAUACAAGCCAAAAAUAAUAUACUUGAAUAAUUUUGAACGAAAGGGAAUACGGUUCCAAUUCCGUAACCUGUUGAGUAUCCGUUUGUUAUUAAAUAUGGGCCUCGUGCUCAUCCUGGCAACAGGAACGACCAUAAAGAAGCCGUCGAGAGAUAUCGGAAGAGUUUUCUUUUCUGUUUUAUAGCCGUACUACCAUGGAAGUCUUU